AGUUAAUUAGCUUAACCAAAAGCAUUUAUUUUGAAAGUAAAA
rnacentral:tRNA from 1 species